rnacentral:rRNA from 1 species
UACGAAGGGGGCUAGCGUUGCUCGGAAUUACUGGGCGUAAAGGGCGCGUAGGCGGAUGUUUAAGUUGGGGGUGAAAGCCCGGGGCUCAACCUCGGAAUUGCCUUCAAUACUGGACAUCUUGAGUACGGGAGAGGUGAGUGGAACUCCGAGUGUAGAGGUGAAAUUCGUAGAUAUUCGGAAGAACACCAGUGGCGAAGGCGACUCACUGGCCCGUUACUGACGCUGAGACGCGAAAGCGUGGGGAGCAAACAGG